rfam:Serratia marcescens FGI94, complete genome.
GGCGAUAAAAGUUGGUUCUGUUUGGAGCCACUGCAAACGAAACAGCUUUGGAAAGCAGGUCUGUUCCGUAUGCUGUAAAGUUUUUGACGCAUUCUUGAUCUAUUGGUAACUCAUGAAUCCCAUCGUAAUUAACAGGCUGCAGCGCAAGCUGGGCUACACUUUUCAAC